rnacentral:lncRNA from 1 species
AUGGGUUUUUCCGCCCCGGUCCCGCUGCCCGGCGGCUCCAUCUGGCGGCAGCCGCACCUCGGGAGAGCCCGCAGCUGCUCCUGGGUCCGGGGAGAGCCCGCAGCUCCUCCUGGGUCCGGGGAGAGCCCGCGGCUCCUCCUGGGUCUGGGGAGAGCCCGCAGCUCCUCCUGGGUCUGGGGAAAACCCGCAGCUGCUCCUGGGUCUGGGGAGAGCCCGCAGCUCCUCCUGGGUCUGGGGAAAACCCGCAGCUGCUCCUGGGUCUGGGGAGAGCCCGCAGCUGCUCCUGGGUCUGGGGAGAGCCCGCAGCUGCUCCUGGGUCUGGGGAGAGCCCGCAGCUGCUCCUGGGUCUGGGGAGAGCCCGCAGCUGCUCCUGGGUCUGGGGAGAGCCCGCAGCUGCUCCUGGGUCUGGGGAGAGCCCGCAGCUGCUCCUGGGUCUGGGGAGAGCCCGCAGCUGCUCCUGGGUCUGGGGAGAGCCCGCAGCUGCUCCUGGGUCUGGGGAGAGCCCGCAGCUGCUCCUGGGUCUGGGGAGAGCCCGCAGCUGCUCCUGGGUCUGGGGAGAGCCCGCAGCUGCUCCUGGGUCUGGGGAGAGCCCGCAGCUGCUCCUGGGUCUGGGGAGAGCCCGCAGCUGCUCCUGGGUCUGGGGAGAGCCCGCAGCUGCUCCUGGGUCUGGGGAGAGCCCGCAGCUGCUCCUGGGUCUGGGGAGAACCCGCAGCUCCUCCUGGGUCCGGGGAAAACCCGCAGCUCGGGAAGCGCCUCCUGCACACAAGCAAGGACAGCUUUGCUCCGGGUACAGAUGUUCGUGUGCUUUUUAAUUCAUGGAGCUGGUGCAGUGAGAGCAGUUCAAGGCAGUCCUGCUGCACAUGCGAUCCUGUUAAUAAUCUUACUGUAUUCUCUCUAUAUUUAGGGACUGGAGCAUCUCUCCUAGGAGGACAGGCUGAGGGAGCUGGUCCUGCUCAGCCCCGAGAAGAGACGACUGAGAAGGGCCCUCAUCCCCGUGUGUCAGCGUCCAAAGGGAGGGGUCAGAGCAGGGACCAGGCUCUGCUCCGUGGGGCUCGGCAGUGGGACAGGAGGAACAGGCAGGAACUGAUGCCCAGGAAGUUCCACUCGAACACGAGGAAGAACUUUCAUGUGCACUGGACAGGCUGCCCACGGAGGGUGUGGUGUCUCCCUCCCUGGGGACAUUCCACAACAAUCCUGGACACAGUUCUGUGCCUGGAGCUCUGGGAUGGCUCUGUUUGA